CCAGCAGCAGCAACUCGCUCAGGUCCCCUUCCACACUGUGGAAGCUUUGUUCUUUUGCUCUUCACAAUAAAUCUUACUGCUGCUCACUCUUUGGGUCCACACUACCUUUAUGAGCUGUUAACACUCACUGCAGAAGUCUGCAGCUUCACUCCUGAAGUCAGUGAGACCACAAACGCACCCGGAGGAACAAACAACUCCAGACACACCACCUUUAAGAACUGUAACACUCACUGCGAAGGUCUGCGGCUUCACUGCUGAAGUCAGUGAGACCACGAACCCACUGGAAGGAAGAAACUCCAGACACAUCUGAACAUCUGAAGGAACAAACUCCAGACACAACAUCUUUAAGAACUGUGACACUCACCGCGAGGGUCCGCGGCUUCUUUCUUGAAGUCAGAGAGACCAAGAACCCACCAGAAGGAAUAAAUUCCAGACACAUUUGGCGACACAGAUGGGACUAUCACCAAGUGAAAGUUAUGAAGGUCAUGAUGGCAGCAACCACAAUGGAUAAAACUUGCAAAGAACCAUGGUGGUCCAGGUCACAUAGGAAAAGUGAGACGGAAUGAUCUGAUAAACUAGAGUCGCAGCUGGCACUCUUAGGAAUGUAGCAAAUGUUUCCUGUGGUACUUCUUAUUGAAAAAAG
rnacentral:lncRNA from 10 species